GGUAUUAAGAUUUUAAUCUUUGGGAUCCAGCCAAACUUGACGGCCACUAUGGGGUAAUGUCUUCUCAAGACGAAUGCCCCACAGUCUGCACCGUGGUCGUUACAGCUAUUUCCUGGUGUGGGCAAAUGCCAUGCAACUAAGUCACAAGGACGAGUGGUCGAAUAUAAGGGAGAAAAAGGCCGAUAAGCAUGGAUCACCUACAACUUCCUCAGGAAAAGUUUAACCAAGAAGUGAACUCAAAAAUUCACAAGUGUCAUUCAUUAUAGCUGCAUUGAAAAACUGGCAUGACCUGAAUAUUAAUUAAUCACCA
rnacentral:lncRNA from 1 species